rnacentral:rRNA from 1 species
AGUGAACGCUGGCGGUAGGCCUAACACAUGCAAGUCGAACGGCAGCACAGUAAGAGCUUGCUCUUACGGGUGGCGAGUGGCGGACGGGUGAGGAAUACAUCGGAAUCUACUUUUUCGUGGGGGAUAACGUAGGGAAACUUACGAUAAUACCGCAUACGACCUACGGGUGAAAGCAGGGGAUCUUCGGACCUUGCGCGAUUGAAUGAGCCGAUGUCGGAUUAGCUAGUUGGCGGGGUAAAGGCCCACCAAGGCGACGAUCCGUAGCUGGUCUGAGAGGAUGAUCAGCCACACUGGAACUGAGACACGGUCCAGACUCCUACGGGAGGCAGCAGUGGGGAAUAUUGGACAAUGGGCGCAAGCCUGAUCCAGCCAUACCGCGUGGGUGAAGAAGGCCUACGGGUUGUAAAGCCCUUUUGUUGGGAAAGAAAAGCAGCAGGUUAAUACCCCGCUGUUCUGACGGUACCCAAAGAAUAAGCACCGGCUAACUUCGUG